AACGCUAGCUACAGGCUUAACACAUGCAAGUCGAGGGGCAGCAUUUUUAUAGCAAUAUAAAAGAUGGCGACCGGCGCACGGGUGAGUAACACGUAUCCAACCUGCCGAUAACUCGGGGAUAACCCUUCGAAAGAAGGCCUAAUACCCGAUGGCAUAUCCCUUCCGCCUGGUUGGGAUAUUAAAGAACUUCGGUUAUCGAUGGGGAUGCGUUCCAUUAGCUUGUUGGCGGGGUAACGGCCCACCAAGGCAUCGAUGGAUAGGGGUUCUGAGAGGAAGGUCCCCCACAUUGGAACUGAGACACGGUCCAAACUCCUACGGGAGGCAGCAGUGAGGAAUAUUGGUCAAUGGACGAGAGUCUGAACCAGCCAAGUAGCGUGAAGGAUGAAGGUCCUAUGGAUUGUAAACUUCUUUUAUACGGGAAUAAAGUGCAGUAUGCAUACUGUUUUGUAUGUACCGUAUGAAUAAGGAUCGGCUAACUCCGUGCCAGCAGCCGCGGUAAUACGGAGGAUCCGAGCGUUAUCCGGAUUUAUUGGGUUUAAAGGGAGCGUAGGCGGAUGCUUAAGUCAGUUGUGAAAGUUUGCGGCUCAACCGUAAAAUUGCAGUUGAUACUGGGCGUCUUGAGUACAGUAGAGGCAGGCGGAAUUCGUGGUGUAGCGGUGAAAUGCUUAGAUAUCACGAAGAACUCCGAUUG
rnacentral:rRNA from 1 species